rnacentral:rRNA from 1 species
UACGUAGGGGGCAAGCGUUGUCCGGAAUCAUUGGGCGUAAAGAGCGCGUAGGCGGCCCAGUAAGUCCGCUCUGAAAGUCAGGGGGCUCAACCCCUGAAUGCGGGUGGAUACUGCUGGGCUAGAGUCCGGAAGAGGCGAGUGGAAUUCCUGGUGUAGCGGUGAAAUGCGCAGAUAUCAGGAGGAACACCAACGGCGAAGGCAGCUCGCUGGGGACGGUACUGACACUGAGGCGCGAAAGCUAGGGGGAGCAAACGGGG